UACGUAGGGUGCAAGCGUUGUCCGGAAUUAUUGGGCGUAAAGAGCGUGUAGGCGGCCUGGCAAGUCUGCUGUGAAAACUCGAGGCUCAACCUCGAGAUGGCGGCGGAAACCGUCUGGCUAGAGUCCGGAAGAGGAGAGUGGAAUUCCUGGUGUAGCGGUGAGAUGCGCAGAUAUCAGGAAGAACACCGAUGGCGAAGGCAGCUCUCUGGGACGGUACUGACGCUGAGACGCGAAAGCGUGGGGAGCGAACAGG
rnacentral:rRNA from 1 species